rnacentral:ncRNA from 1 species
UCAAACCUUCGGAAAAGAAGAGUAGUCAUAAAUAGAUUUUACAGAGAAGCUCUAUUUGGUGAGAGGAGCAAAUUGAUGUUAUGGUGAACAUGGUCUUUGAGGGGACAGUUCGAUAUUAGGACUGUACGGCAACUUCCGUUAUCAUGAGUUAGAGCUUGAUGGAGCUUGAAGUGGUGUAUUUUUACAUACACAAAAAAGGUGGUACCGCGGAUAUUUCGCCCUUUCU